UGUUUUAAAUUGUGACUUUAUUUAGAAAUUGGGUUAAUUUGCCUUGAUUUUAAUACUUAAAUUGGUCUAAAAGAUUGUAGUUAAGUAGUAAUUAAUAUUAUUUAAUUUAUUAAUGGUAGGAUAUAGCGAUGGCUUAAAACUCUAACAAAUAUUUGUGCCAGCAGUUGCGGUUAUACAAAACGAGUUACUUAAUUAUUAUGGUUUUAGCUAGUUAAUUAAUAUUUUUAAAUUUAUAUUGAGAGGUGAAAUUUUAAUAUAAACUUUACAAAAAGAGUAAAUGGGCUAGGAAAUUUAUAGGUAUAAACCAGGAUUAGAUACCCUGCUAUUAUAAUUGUAAUUUAUUAAACCGGAUUAGUAUCAGCUAAGUACUUGAAAAUUAAAAAUCUUGGCGGUAUUUUAACCUACCAGAGGAACCUGUCCUAUAAUUGAUAAUCCACAAUUUAUUAUACUUUUGUUAAUGCUUGUAUAUCGUUGUUGUAAUGAAUAUUCCAUUAGGAUGUUAAUUUUCAUAAGAUAUUAUUUUAUUAUAGAUCAAAUCAAGGUGCAGCUUUUAAAAGAAGAGAUGGGUUACAUUUAUUAAAUUUAAAUUUGUAAAUUUUAUAUCAUUUGGAUUUGGUAGUAAUUUUGUUGAUUAAAACAUAAUGAAAUAGGCUCUUAAAUAUGCACAUAUCGCCCGUCGCUUUCAUAUUUUAUUGAAAUAAGUCGUAACAUAGUAGAUUUAUCGGAAGAUGAAUCUGGAAUGGC
rnacentral:ncRNA from 1 species